UACGAAGGGGGCUAGCGUUGCUCGGAAUCACUGGGCGUAAAGCGCACGUAGGCGGCUUUUAAGUCAGGGGUGAAAUCCUGGAGCUCAACUCCAGAACUGCCUUUGAUACUGAGAAGCUUGAGUCCGGGAGAGGUGAGUGGAACUGCGAGUGUAGAGGUGAAAUUCGAUGAGAUAUUCGCAAGAACACCAGUGGCGAAGGCGGCUCACUGGCCCGGUACUGACGCUGAGGUGCGAAAGCGUGGGGAGCAAACAGGG
rnacentral:rRNA from 1 species